GCGCUUGCUUCGGCAGCACAUAUACUAAAAUCAGAAUGAUACAGAGAAAAUUAAUGUGGCCCUUAGGCAAGGAUGACACUCAAAUUUGUGAAGUGUUCCAUAUUUUA